UAUAUUUAUAAAUGCCUUUACCCCAUGCAUAAAUAUUUUUUAUGGAAUAAAGCAAAAAAAGAUUGUAUCAAGAAAGGUAGUGAUAAUAGAUUCUACUGCAGAAAACAUCCACCUGGAUAUUUAAAUUCUUUGUGGAGAAAAGCUACUGGACCAAGAAGGUACUAGAGCUUAGUACAGUGACUAUUUCAACAUGUUUUUUUUUAUAACAAAACACUAUAAACUGUACAUUUCUAUUUUCUUGUUUUACUCUCUUAAAUUUAUGUAAAUUUUGUCCUUAGGAAUAAAUAAAAAAUUUACUAAACUUUA